UGGAAUGGCUAACAAUCAGUAAAUUCAUUUGAAUAAAUCUGGAAACGAAUUUGAAUUUUGAAUAGCAAAGUUCACUGUUUUUACAAGACCUCCUACAAGAAGUAUAAUAACAGCUAAUGAACUUGAUAGUAUCCAAUCUAAAACAGAUUGUUACAGAUGUUCACAAUGAACUGAAGGGGCCAACUGAAUUUGCUUUUUCAAGCUCAGCUCUGCUCCUCGUUAUCUAUCAAUUCCUCUGUAGCAGCAGCCAUCAACUCGUCAAACUUUUCUGUCUUCCCAAGCAAUAUUUCAAUCUUUGCUUUUGGCACAGGUCGCCCUCCUGUUUCCUCUCUCAUGUCAACAGUUGAAGUCAUGAUCUUUUUCUCAACAGCAAGCCCAUUAUUCUUCAAGAUCUCAGUGAUGGUUACAACUGUUGCUAUAGCUGUACAUAUAAUAUAAGAGUCAAUGCUACACAAACUCUAACUAAAAGCAUAAUAUACUAUUUUCAUCCAUGGUUCACAUACUAGAAAGUAGGAACGUAUUACAAGCCUAAAUUGCAGCAAAACCAUUUCAUUUAUUUGCUUUGAUAAGUAUCACAACGGAAAGAAAGAACUACUAAGGCUAGAGUUGUUAAACAAGCCAGCAAAUAUGGCAAUACAUAAGGAAGCAUAUAGAGAAUCAAAAUACCCAUCCCAAGAGCAGAGAGUUCAACUUCAUUGUGUUGCUGCAUGUAUCUCUUGGUGAGAUUGACGUAGAAGAAGAGGGGCUUUUUGGUGUUAGAGACUUGAAUACGGUUCUUCUUGUUGGCUGAAGCUGAAUCAGUGAUAUUCAAGUUGUUCACCCCCUCUGUUAUACCCUCCAUUGGGAUAAAUCUUUAGCUAUUAGCUAAAAAGAGGUGCCAAUAAACCCUAAAUCUCCCCUUCCAAACAAAGAAUCUUCCUCUCCCUCUCCCUCUCCUUCUUCUGAAACAGAGUCUUGAAACCCCAAAAGAAAAAAAAGAAGGGGCAGAGAACCGAGUGAGAGAGAGACAUGAAAGGGUGCGAGCUAUGUGGUGGUACUGCGAGAAUGUAUUGCGAAUCAGACCAAGCUAGCUUGUGUUGGGACUGCGAUGAGAAGGUUCACUGUGCUAAUUUUCUUGUGGCUAAGCAUUGCAGAACCCUUCUUUGCCAAGUUUGUCAAUCUCCGACGCCGUGGAAAGCCUCCGGUCCUAAGCUUGGGCCUACUGUUUCCAUUUGUGAAUCUUGUUUUUCCUUGCAUAACGGAAAGAAAGGUGAAGUAGGUGUGGAUCGUGACGAGAGCCACGGAGGAAAUGAGCAGGAAGAUGAAUUUUUAGAUGAUAGUGAUGAUUAUGAUGAUGAGGAUGAUGAGCAGGAUGAUGAGGAGGAAGACGAAGAGGAAGAGGAGGAUGAAGAUGGGGAAAAUCAGGUGGUGCCGUGGUCGGUUACAUCUCCUUCACCUCCGGCGGCGAGUUCCUCGAGUAGCGAAGAGGAGAUUUCGAGUAGAUUUUUGGGUGCAAGUGCGGCGGCGUUGAAGCGGAUGCGAGAGAAUAGUGCUGAUAUUGAUUCUGAUGAUGAGAAUGGAUGUUCCUCUUGUCAUACGGGCCGUGGAAGACUAAGCAACGAUGAAGGGGAUUCAAUGGCUUCAUAUAGACCAUUGAAGCAAGCAAGAACAAGCGGUGGAGGUGUAGGCGGUGAAGUAGAAGACGAUCAUGGUCAAGCAGAGUCAAGAUCAACCGCCAUUAUUGACUCCCUCAACAGACUCCAAAGUGAUACGGUAUCAAACAGAGAAAGUACAUCUGCAACCAUUCUUGCGAUUAGCAGAUUGAGCGGAGAUCACAGCCGCUGAUUUCAAUCCAACUAACUCUUUGUUUCCCCAUUUGAUAAUCAUGCAUUUCGUGAUUAGUUUUAAGUAAUGCUGGUAUUAAUUAGUUUUCGUUUUGCUAUUAUUAUAAGCUAAUCCAAGUUGUUAUUUUUCCUUUUAUAAAUACACUAUCUUUGUGUGAAAUCGUGUGUAACUGAGAGGGUAUCUGGUUGAUAUCGCGUGAAUGCGUUCUACUACAUUUUUGGAACAUUGAAAAAAUUCUCAGUUUAUUUUUUAAAGCUAUUAAUAUCUAAAUUGUGUGCAAUGCAUUGAGAAAGCAUGACUCUGCAUCUUCUCAA
rnacentral:misc_RNA from 1 species